CUGGAGAAGGCUAUGUUGGCCGGGCGACGGUUGUCCCGGUUUAAGCGUGUAGGCUGGUUUUCCAGGCAAAUCCGGAAAAUCAAGGCUGAGGCGUGAUGACGAGGCACUACGGUGCUGAAGCAACAAAUGCCCUGCUUCCAGGAAAAGCCUCUAAGCAUCAGGUAACAUCAAAUCGUACCCCAAACCGACACAGGUGGUCAGGUAGAGAAUACCAAGGCGCUUGAGAGAACUCGGGUGAAGGAACUAGGCAAAAUGGUGCCGUAACUUCGGGAGAAGGCACGCUGAUAUGUAGGUGAAGCGACUUGCUCGUGGAGCUGAAAUCAGUCGAAGAUACCAGCUGGCUGCAACUGUUUAUUAAAAACACAGCACUGUGCAAACACGAAAGUGGACGUAUACGGUGUGACGCCUCCCCGGUGCCGGAAGGUUAAUUGAUGGGGUUAGCGCAAGCGAAGCUCUUGAUCGGAGCCCCGGUAAACGGCGGCCGUAACAAUAACGGUCCUAAGGUAGCGAAAUUCCUUGUCGGGUAAGUUCCGACCUGCACGAAUGGCGUAAUGAUGGCCAGGCUGUCUCCACCCGAGACUCAGUGAAAUUGAACUCGCUGUGAAGAUGCAGUGUACCCGCGGCAAGACGGAAAGACCCCGUGAACCUUUACUAUAGCUUGACACUGAACAUUGAGCCUUGAUGUGUAGGAUAGGUGGGAGGCUUAGAAGUGUGGACGCCAGUCUGCAUGGAGCCGACCUUGAAAUACCACCCUUUAAUGUUUGAUGUUCUAACGUUGACCCGUAAUCCGGGUUGCGGACAGUGUCUGGUGGGUAGUUUGACUGGGGCGGUCUCCUCCUAAAGAGUAACGGAGGAGCACGAAGGUUGGCUAAUCCUGGUCGGACAUCAGGAGGUUAGUGCAAUGGCAUAAGCCAGCUUGACCGCGAGCGUGACGGCGCGAGCAGGUGCGAAAGCAGGUCAUAGUGAUCCGGUGGUUCUGAAUGGAAGGGCCAUCGUUCAACGGAUAAAAGGUACUCCGGGGAUAACAGGCUGAUACCGCCCAAGAGUUCAUAUCGACGGCGGUGUUUGGCACCUCGAUGUCGGCUCAUCACAUCCUGGGGCUGAAGUAGGUCCCAAGGGUAUGGCUGUUCGCCAUUUAAAGUGGUACGCGAGCUGGGUUUAGAACGUCGUGAGACAGUUCGGUCCCUAUCUGCCGUGGGCGCUGGAGAACUGAGGGGGGCUGCUCCUAGUACGAGAGGACCGGAGUGGACGCAUCACUGGUGUUCGGGUUGUCAUGCCAAUGGCACUGCCCGGUAGCUAAAUGCGGAAGAGAUAAGUGCUGAAAGCAUCUAAGCACGAAACUUGCCCCGAGAUGAGUUCUCCCUGACCCUUUAAGGGUCCUGAAGGAACGUUGAAGACGACGACGUUGAUAGGCCGGGUGUGUAAGCGCAGCGAUGCGUUGAGCUAACCGGUACUAAUGAACCGUGA
rnacentral:rRNA from 1 species